AGGUUCUAGAAUCCUGCACCUAACAACAGAAGCUUCCCAGUCCAUAGAACCUGGCAACUGAUGAGGUUCUUUUCAUCUAUUCCUCUUUCAUCUCAACCAAACUUAUUAGGACUUCUUCCAUAAUGAAACUCCUGUAAGACCUACCAUGAUGGAGUGAUGUGCAUAGCUCUUGUUCUGGCUCUGCUGUAGAAUCGUUUGUAAUGCUCAUCUUCUGAGACCACACAUAAUAAAGAGAACUCAAGGGCUCUCCAUUGUCUCUCAUAGACAAGGUUCUAGAAUCCUGUGCCUUGCAACAGAAGCCUCCCAGUCCACAGAACCUGGCAACUGAUGAGGUUCUUCCCAAGUAUUCUUCAGCCAUCUCAACCAAACUUAUUAGGAUUUCUUCAAUGUGACUCCUGAAGACUUACCAUGACACAGUGAUGUGCAUAGCUCUAGUUCUGGCUCUGCUGUGGAAUCAUUGGUAACACUCAUCUUCUGAGACCACACAUGAUAAAGACAACUCAAGGGCUCUCCUUUGUCUCUCAUGGACAAAGUUCUAGAAACUUGUACCCAACAACAGAAGCCUCCCAGUCCACAGAACCUGUCGACUGAUGAGGUUCUUCUCAUCUAUUCCUAUGCCAUCUUAACAAAACUUAUUAGGACUUUUUCCAUGAACCAGGAUCACUCUUGUAAUGGACUCUUAGAAAAGUAAGAGAAUAUUGACAGCAAGACCAUACAGUUGAAGACACCACAUUUUCAAAUCAUGGAGCACAUAGAAAUCUCUCUGGUAUUCACCUGGAAGCUUUAGCUCUACUGAUGAGCUUACAUGGGGAUGGAGGGUGUUAUGUAUGUGAUCAGAGAAAAUUUAUCAUUAAUCUUAUUCAUCUGUGAACUCUGUGUGCUACACAGUAAUAGCCUGCCAUUCAAGAUAAGCCUACUGGUGCAAUAGUGGCAUGAAUAUGAUAUGAAUCAUCAACCACUUCUCUUUAUUAGAUUUAAGGCCCACCCAUGAGAUACAAGUCAUACUUGACACUGUCACCAAGGCUGCGAUCCAGAGGCUAAACAGGUCAUGAGCUUUAGGGCAGAACCUAUUCCCUUUACUCCACUAAAUGAAUAUAGCAUUAAAAUGAUUCCUAAUGAA